rnacentral:rRNA from 1 species
AACGAACGCUGGCGGCAGGCUUAACACAUGCAAGUCGAACGCCCCGCAAGGGGAGUGGCAGACGGGUGAGUAACACGUGGGGAUCUGCCCAAUGGUACGGAAUAAUUCCGGGAAACUGGGACUAAUACCGUAUGUGCCCGCAAGGGGAAAGAUUUAUCGCCAUUGGAUGAACCCGCGUCGGAUUAGCUAGUUGGUGAGGUAAAGGCUCACCAAGGCGACGAUCCGUAGCUGGUCUGAGAGGAUGAUCAGCCACACUGGGACUGAGACACGGCCCAGACUCCUACGGGAGGCAGCAGUGGGGAAUAUUGGACAAUGGGCGCAAGCCUGAUCCAGCCAUGCCGCGUGAGUGAUGAAGGCCUUAGGGUUGUAAAGCUCUCUCGCCGACGAAGAUAAUGACGGUAGUCGGAGAAGAAGCCCCGGCUAACUACGUGCCAGCCGCCGCGGUAAAAC